rnacentral:lncRNA from 1 species
GAAAGAAACCUAAGCUGUCGUUUCUAAAAGUUUGGGGAUGCGAUGCUUAUGUCAAGAAACUUCAACCUGAAAAGCUCGAACCCAAGUCGGAAAAAUGCGUAUUCAUAGGAUACCCUAAGGAAACUGUAGGGUAUACCUUCUACUUAAGAUCCGAAGGCAAGAUCUUUGUUGCCAAGAACGGAUGCUUUCUGGAAAAAGAGUUUCUCUCGAAAGAAGUAAGUGGGAGGAAAGUAGAACUCGAUGAAGUACUACCUCUUGAGCGGGAAAGUGGCGCAGCGCAGGAAACCGUUCCUGUGAUGCCCACACCAACUGAAGAGGAAAACAAUGAUGAUGAUCAAGGUACUUCGGAUCAAGUUACUGCUGAACUUCGUAGGUCCACAAGGACACGUUCCGCACCAGAGUGGUACGGCAACCCUGUCCUGGAAAUCAUGUUGUUAGACAACAAUGAACCUUCGAACUAUGAAGAAGCGAUGGCGGGCCCAGAUUCCAACAAAUGGCUUGAAGCCAUGAAAUCCGAGAUAGAAUCCAUGUAUGAAAACAAAGUAUGGACUUUGACAGACUUGCCCGAUGAUCGGCGAGCGAUAGAAAACAAAUGGAUCUUUAAGAAGAAGACGGACGCGGAUGGUAAUGUUACCAUCUAUAAGGCUCGACUUGUCGCUAAGGGUUAUCGACAAGUUCAAGGGAUUGACUACGACGAGACUUUCUCUCCCGUAGCGAAGCUGAAGUCCGUCCGAAUCAUGUUAGCAAUUGCCGCAUACUAUGAUUAUGAGAUAUGGCAAAUGGACGUCAAAACGGCAUUCCUUAACGGACAUCUUAAGGAAGAACUGUAUAUGAUGCAGUCGGAAGGUUUUGUCGAUCCUCGGAAUGCUAACAAAGUAUGCAAGCUCCGGCGAUCCAUUUAUGGACUGGUGCAAGCAUCUCGGAGUUGGAACAUUCACUUUGAUGAGAUGAUCAAAGCGUUUGGGUUUAUGCAGACUUAUGGAGAAGCCUGCGUUUACAAGAAAGUGAGUGGGAGCUCUGUAGCAUUUCUCAUAUUAUAUGUAGAUGACAUACUCUUGAUGGGAAAUAAUAUAGAAUUUCUGGACAGCAUUAAGGCCUACUUGAAUAAGUGUUUUUCAAUGAAGGACCUUGGAGAAGCUGCUUAUAUAUUAGGCAUCAAGAUCUAUAGAGAUAGAUCGAGACGCCUCAUAGGUCUUUCACAAAGCACAUACCUUGAUAAGAUUUUGAAGAGGUUCAAAAUGGAUCAGUCCAAGAAGGGGUUCUUGCCUAUGUUACAAGGUGUGAGAUUGAGCUCGGCUCAGUCACCGACCACGGCGAAAGAUAAAGAAGAGAUGAGUGUCAUCCCCUAUGCUUCAGCCAUAGGAUCUAUUAUGUAUGCCAUGCUGUGUACCAGACCCGAUGUAAACCUUGCCGUAAGUUUGGUAGCAAGAUACCAAAGUAAUCCCGGCAAGGAACACUGGACAGCGGUCAAGAAUAUCCUGAAGUACCUGAAAAGGACGAAGGACAUGUUUCUCGUUUAUGGAAGAGACGAAGAGCUCGUCGUAAAGGGUUACGUCGACGCUAGCUUCGACUCAGAUCUGGAUGACUCUAAGUCACAAACCGGAUACGUGUAUAUGUUGAAUGGUGGAGCAGUAAGCUGGUGCAGCUGCAAGCAGAGCGUCGUGGCGGGAUCUACGUGUGAAGCGGAGUACAUGGCAGCCUGGGAGGCAGCGCAUGAAGCGAUUUGGGUGAAGGAGUUCAUCACCGACCUAGGAGUCAUACCCAAUGCGUCGGGGCCGAUCAAACUCUUCUGUGACAACACUGGAGCUAUUGCCCUCGCCAAGGAGCCCAGGUUUCACAAGAAGACCAGGCACAUCAAGCGUCGUUUCAACUCCAUCCGUGAAAAUGUUCAGGAUGGAGACAUAGAGAUUUGCAAAGUACACACGGAUCUGAAUGUCGCAGAUCCGCUGACUAAACCUCUCUCGCGUGCAAAACAUGAUCAACACCAGAACUCUAUGGGUGUUCGAUUCAUCACAAUGUAACUAGAUUGGUGACUCUAGUGCAAGUGGGAGACUGUUGGAAAUAUGCCCUAGAGGCAAUAAUAAAAGUAUUAUUAUAUUUCAAUGUUCAUGAUAAAUGUCUUUUAUUCAUGCUAUAACUGUAUUAUCCGGAAAUCGUAAUACAUGUGUGAAUACUUAGACCACAAUAUGUCCCUGGUGAGCCUCUAGUUGACCAGCUCGUUGUGAUCAACAGAUAGUCAUGGUUUCCUGACUAUGGACAUUGGAUGUCGUUGAUAACGGGAUCACAUCAUUAGGAGAAUGAUGUGAUGGACAAGACCCAAUCCUAAGCAUAGCAUAAAAGAUCGUGUAGUUCGUUUUGCUAGAGCUUUGCCAGUGUCAAGUAUCUCUUCCUUCGACCAUGAGAUCGUGUAACUCCCGGAUACCAUAAGAGUGCCUUGGGUGUAUCAAACGUCACAACGUAACUGGGUGACUAUAAAGGUGCAUUACAGGUAUCUCCGAAAGUAGCUGUUGGGUUGACACGGAUCGAGACUGGGAUUUGUCACUCCGUAUGACGGAGAGGUAUCUCUGGGCCCACUCGGUAAUGCAUCAUCAUUAUGAGCUCAAUGUGACCAAGGUGUUGGACACGGGAUCAUGCAUUACGGUAUGAGUAAAGUGACUUGCCGGUAACGAGACUGAACAAGGUAUUGGGAUACCGACGAUCGAGUCUCGGGCAAGUAAUGUACCGAUUGACAAAGGGAAUUGCAUACAGGGUUUGAUCGAAUCCUCGACAUAGUGGUUCAUCCGAUGACAACAUCGAGGAGCAUGUGGGAGCCAUCAUGGGUAUCCAGAUCCCGCUGUUGGUUAUUGACUAAGAGCGUCUCGGUCAUGUCUGCAUGUCUCCCGAACCCGUAGGGUCUACACACUUAAGGUUCGGUGAUGCUAGGGUUAUUAGGAAGACUAGUAUGUGACUACCGAAUGUUGUUCGGAGUCCCGGAUGGGAUCCUGGACGUCACGAGGAGAUCCGGAAGGGUCCGGAGGUAAAGAUUUAUAUAUGGGAAGUUGCCAAACGGACACCGGGAAGUUUCGGGGUCAUACCGGUAUUGUACCGGGGCCACCGGAAGGGUUCUGGGGGUCCACCGGGAGGGGCCACCCCUCCCGGGGGGCCACAUGGGCUGCGUGGGGCAGGGAGCCAGCCCCUGGUGGGCUGGCCGCACCCCCCCUCCCUUGGGCCCAUGCGCCUAGGGUUGAGGGGGAACCCUAGAGGGGGCGCCCCCCUUGGCUUGGGGGGCNNNNNNNNNNNNNNNNNNNNNNNNNNNNNNNNNNNNNNNNNNNNNNNNNNNNNNNNNNNNNNNNNNNNNNNNNNNNNNNNNNNNNNNNNNNNNNNNNNNNNNNNNNNNNNNNNNNNNNNNNNNNNNNNNNNNNNNNNNNNNNNNNNNNNNNNNNNNNNNNNNNNNNNNNNNNNNNNNNNNNCCAGCCCCUGGUGGGCUGGCCGCACCCCCUCCCUUGGGCCCAUGCGCCUAGGGUUGAGGGGGGAACCCUAGAGGGGGCGCCCCCUUGGCUUGGGGGGCAAGCCACCCUCUCCCCUCUCUCCUAGGCCGCCGCACCCCCCCCUAGAUGGGUUCUAGGGGGCCGUCCCCCUUCUCCCUUCCCCCUAUAAAUAGAGGGGUGAGGGGAGGGCAGCAGGACCACCCUCCAAGGCGCAGCCCUCCCCUCCCCAACACCUCUCCUCCUCCGUUGUGUGCUUGGCGAAGCCCUGUCGGAGUACUGCCUCUCCACCAUCACCACGCCGUCGUGCUGCCGGUGGAGCUGUCUUCCUCAACCUCUCCUUCCCCCUUGCUGGAUCAAGAAGGAGGAGACGUCUCCCGUCCCGUACGUGUGUUGAACGCGGAGGUGUUGUCCGUUCAGCACUUGGUCAUUGGUGAUUCGAAUCACGUCGAGUACGACUACAUCAUCACCUUGCAAGCUUCCGCACGCGAUCUACAAGUGGUAUGUAGAUGCAAACUCUCUCCCUUGACUCGUUGCUUAGAUGAACUCAUAGAUGGAUCUUGGAGAAACCGUAGGAAAAUUUUUAAUUUUCUGUAACGUUCCCCAACAGAAUGCCCUCCCACUCCUCAAGAAGGAGAGGUUGUUGUUUUCGUAGAUCACUUAGCUCGGGGCUUUAAGCCGCCCGGUUCUAAAUUUUACUGGGAUGUUUUGGCCGAUUUCCAACUCCAUCCACAAGACACUGGCCCCAUUAGCCCCCAAGUGCCAAGUUGAAUACUUGUAUUGAUCUUGGGACUUUGUAAGCAAUUGAAAUACGAAGAUCGAAUAUGCAUUAGCCCCCAAGUGCUAAGUGCAUAACUUGUUAUGUGGUUGGUACUUCAAUCCUUGUACCAUUUUGUUGAAGCAUAUAACUGUCUGCAUGCAGGCGGAGCUGAAGAUGAAAGAAAGCCAAGUCGCCGAUCUCCAAGAAAAUCUGAAAACCCAACAAGCUGAAACCUCCAAAGCAAAAGAGGAAUUAGCCAACGCUUUAAGCGCCAUGAAACAACUUAAGGAGAGCUUCAAGAAGAAGCGGGCGGAUUGGGCCACUGAAAUGUCCGCUUUAAUCAAACGAGCAGAGGAUACCGAGGCUGCACUAAAACCAGUGGCGGAUGAACUGACCAGCAUAAAGCGGCACGUGCAUGCCAUGACUACUGCUAUCUUUGGUAAGCCAGUUUGACUUCUGAAUUGGCUCUGCCUUCUUACAGAGUUGCCAGUUUAUCAACCCUUUAUGGUAUUUCAGGGACACGCAUUGGUCACUUGGGGUCAGAUGUGCGGAAGAAACUGAAAGCCGCCUAUACAUUGGUUGAACAAUUGUAUACUGGUGCCCAGCAGAUCAUCUGUACCGCACCCAUAACAAACCGGCGCCCACUUUGAUUCAAGACACUCUGAUGAAACUGUCGGUGCUUCAUGCCCGGGUUGAAGAGCUGAAGAAAUCUGCUGCUCGAACCGGUGCGAUCAAUGCCUUAAUCUGGGCAAAAGCCUGGGUGCCGGAUUUUGAUCCUAUUGAAGCGGCUCAGGGCUAUCCCAGCUUGAAGGAAGACGGGUCAGAGUUUGGUGAAGCGGAUCUGCGAGCAAUAAACCGGGAGGUACGUCCGCUAGCUUGUCAAUUGGCUGAAGAAGCAGACUUGUCUCAUUAUCAAGCCCAAUAUGACAAUCAGAAUAAGCGAAUAGCUGCACCAAUCCAUGAAUCGGAAAAUCUAAUCCCUCCAAUCCGUAAGCAUACUUACGCUCCCGAUAUUGACCCGUCCUUGCUGAUCCAUGAUGAAGUUGUUUUUCAAGCAUUAAUGGGAAUUGACUGGACAACUGUUGAUUUCCAGCCACUAGGUAGAGAAACGGAGGCUGAAGCAGCGCAGGAUGACCCACAACCAUCAGGCCAGGUUGGUGACCAAGCUUGAACCAGAAACCAGUUUUAAAACUGCCUCUCCUUUGCGAAAAACAAUGAUAUUAUUAUGGGCACCGUGUUGCCUUGUAAUAGGCUAGCUGAUACUUUUGAUGUUGAUAUGCCUUCGUGCAUAAUUUGUUCUUCCUGUGGUGAUGAACUUUCCAAUGCACUUUCUGCAAUAAGAAAUUCUUCAAGUGCCACCGCGGUUGUACCGUAAGGCGGAAUAUGAUGUCUGCAUAUAUGAAGUCAAAACAUCCAAUUUUUUUUAAGUAUAUGACCAAAAAAAUUAGAUACAUAAUACCUGCCAUCAUUGAGCAUGAAGUUGGCUUGGCCAAUCUUGAAGCGGAUUUUUGCAAACCCACACUGUUGGAGGAGAUAACAGCUCCUGUAUAUAUAUGACACUGGUUUACCAUGUAAACCGUGCCGGGUUAUAAUAAACACCGUGUUACUCCAUAAGAGGAUGUUAACAACAAGGAUCAAACUGGGCAAAUAGUCUCCGGAUUGACGUGAAUUGUGUUCCGUCAAUUGAUUGGUUGAAAACUUUGUCGGUUUUAAAAAAACGCAAUAAAAAAGAAAAAAGUAGCUUGCAAAGAAAAGUGCAAAGCAAAAGCAAUGACAAAACCGUUUGCAAAAAAGGUUUAUUUGAGCUGAUCAAAUGGCAUUACCAUGGCCGAACACGACCAAGCUCCCGUUAGGUGUAACUAUGGUUCUAGUCCGCCAGGUCCCUAAAUGAAACCGUGGCAUUUAUGCCGACCAAGUGGCAUGGCAAUGGUUCGGGUUCGACCAAGCCCCCAAGUGAUUCUGCGGCCUUAGGCCGAUCAAGAGGCAUGACUGGUUCAGACGUGACCAAGUCCCCAAGUGAUCUGGUGGCUCUCGCCUAUCAAGAGGUAUGGUAUUGGUUCGGACACGACCAAACCUCCAAGUGAUAUAACAUGAUGCUUUUAAAAAGCAAACUCAAGGGGUAAACCGGAGGCCGCUUUAGAACAACUCCGUGUAACCACACAUGAUGUAAAAGAACAGAUACCCCGCUUUAGCUGAGGUUCCGGUUUAUUAUAUUUAAUCAUAAUAUAUACAUCAUUGUAAUAUGUACAUAAGUAGAACCAAUGGCUCAGGUAUAAUAAGGCCGAAGAUGAGCUAUGUUCCACGGCCUGUUGGUCUCCUCCUCUGAUGUACGUGAGUCCUUAUGCUCUCGAAUAUCGAUCAGAUAGUAUGACCCGUUGUGCAGAUUCUUGCUGACCACGAAAGGCCCCUCCCAAGGUGGGGAUAACUUAUGCAUAUCAGUCUGAUCUUGGAUGAGCCGAAGCACCAAAUCUCCUUCCUGGAAGGUUCUGGUUCUGACUCGGCGACUGUGAUAACGGCGAAGGUCCUGUUGGUAAAUCGCCAAUCGGGCGGCUGCUAUGUCACGCUCUUCAUCCAACCGGUCCAAAGCAUCUUGCCGUGCUGUCUCGUUGUCCGCUUCAAUAUAAGCCGUCACACGAGGUGAAUCAUGACGGAUAUCACUGGGGAGAACCGCCUCCGCUCCAUAAACCAUGAAGAACGGUGUGUAUCCUGUUUACCUGUUGGGUGUUGUAUUGAUGCUCCAUAACACAGAUGGUAAUUCUUCUACCCAACAACCCGGUGUUCUCUGCAAAGGAACCAUGAGCCGGGGCUUGAUGCCUCUCAAGAUCUCUUGAUUAGCUCUUUCUGCUUGACCAUUGGACUGUGGGUGUGCCACUGAUGAAACGUCAAGCGGGAUGUGCUCCCGUUCGCAGAACUCCUUCAUGGCACCUUUGGACAAAUUGGUACCAUUAUCUGUGAUGAUACUAUGUGGAAAGCCAAACCGGAAAAUCACUUUUUUAAUGAACUGAACCGCCGUGGCCGCAUCACACUUGCUAACAGGUUCUGCCUCCACCCACUUUGUAAACUUGUCAACCGUCACCAGGAGGUGGGUCUUCUUAUCUUUGGACCUUUUGAAAGGCCCAACCAUAUCCAGCCCCCAAGUCGCAAAUGGCCAAGUAAUUGGAAUCAUUCUCAAUUCUUGAGCUGGUACAUGAGCACGUCUUGAGAACUUUUGGCAACCAUCACAUCGUUUGACCAGAUCCUCUGCAUCAGCAUGAGCAGUUAACCAAUAGAAGCCAUGGCGAAACGCUUUAGCCAUCAGAGAUUUUGAACCGGCGUGGUGACCACAAUCUCCUGCGUGGAUCUCACGCAAAAUUUCACGGCCUUCUUCAGGAGACACACAAUGUUGAAAUGCUCCUGACACACUGCAAUGAUGCAACUCGCCGUUGAUAAUAGUCAUGGACUUGGAUCGCCGGAUUAUUUGUCUGGCCAGAGUCUCAUCCUCUGGUAACUCGCCCUAGUUCUUGUACACCAGGUAGGGAAGCGUCCAAUCCGGAAUAACAUGAAGAGCUGCCACCAAUUGAGCCUCUGGAUCAGGAAUAGCCAAAUCCGCUUCACCAGGGAUCUUGACCGACGGGUUGUGCAGCACAUCCAGAAAAACAUUGGGCGGAACCGGUUUGCACUGAGAGCCCAGCCGGCUUAAAGCGUCCGCCGCUUCAUUUUUCCGCCGGUCCACGUGGUCCACCUGAUAGCCUUUGAAAUGACCUGCAACAAUAUCCACCUCACGACGAUAUGCCGCCAUGAGUGGAUCCUUAGAGUCCCAAGUGACAGACACUUGCUGAGCCACGAGGUCCGAGUCACCGAAGCACUUAACUCGACCUAGAUUCAUCUCCUUAGCCAUCCGGAGACCAUGGAGCAAGGCUUCAUACUCAGCUGCAUUGUUAGUACAAGGGAACAUUAAGCGGAGAACAUAACAAAACUUAUCACCUUGUGGGGAAGUUAAUACGACUCCAGCCCCCGAACCUUCCAAUUGCCUGGAUCCGUCAAAAUGGAUGGUCCAAUAUGUGUGAUCCGGCUUUUCUUCAGGUGCUUGCAUUUCCGUCUAAUCAUUGAUAAAAUCAACCAGUGCUUGAGACUUAAUCGCCGUCCGAGGCACAUACUUCAAAUCGUGCAGCCCAAGCUCUAUAGUCCACUUGGCAAUCCGGCCAGUUGCUUCCCGGUUCUGGAUGAUAUCCCCCAAAGGAGCAGAACUGACCACCGUAAUUGGAUGCCCUUAGGAGUAUUGUUUAAGCUUUCGGCUUGCCAUAAAAACUCCAUACACCAGCUUCUGCCAAUGCGGAUACCUUUGCUUGGACUCAAUGAGCACCUCGCUGAUAUAAUAGACCGGACGUUGAACCGGAUGCUCCUUACCUGCCUCCUUUCGCUCCACCACAAUAGCCAUGCUGACCGCCCGAGCAUUAGCAGCAACAUAUAGCAGUAACGGCUCCUUGUCAAUGGGAGCGGCAAGCACAGGCGGAUUGGCCAAUUGCCGCUUUAAGUCCUCAAAUGCUUCAUCAGUAGCAGAACUCCAGACAAACUGACCCGUCUUCUUCAACAUCUGAUACAAAGGGAUUGCCUUCUCACCAAGACGACUGAUAAACCGGCUUAACGCGGCAAUCUGGCCUGCCAGGCGUUGAACAUCAUUGAUACACUUCGGUUUAGCCAGGGAGGUGAUGGUUGUGAUCUUCUCCGGAUUAGCCUCAAUUCCCCUAUUGGACACCAGGAAGCCUAACAACUUGCCCGCCGAUACACCAAAGACGCAUUUGUCCGGAUUAAGCAUCAUCUUGUAUGUCCUCAGGUUAUCAAAAGUUUCCUUUAAUCACCAAUCAGAGUCUCCUUCUCCGUGGAUUUAACCAUGAUAUCAUCCACGUAGGCGUGUACAUUAGGGCCAAUCUAUUUGUGUAGACAAUUUUGCACACAAUGUUGAUAAGUUGCCUGGGCACUCUUGAGCCCAAAGGGCAUAGACACAUAGCAGAAGGCUCCAAAGGGAGUUAUGAAUGCCGUUUUCUCCUGGUCCUUAACUGCCAUUUUGAUCUGAUGAUAGCCAGAAUAUGCAUCCAAAAAACUUAAACGCUCACAACCCGUCGUAGCAUCAAUAAUUUGAUCAAUACGGGGGAGGGCAAAAGGAUCUGCUGGACAAGCUUUAUUAAGAUCUGUGUAAUUCACACACAUGCGCCAGGUGCCGUUUUUCUUAAGGACCAGCACCGGAUUGGCAAGCCACUCAGGGUGAAAAACUUCAACAAUAAAACCAGCUGCUAAGAGCCUGGCUACCUCUUCUCCAAUUGCCUUGCGUCUUUCUUCGUUAAACUGGCGGAGGAACUAUUUCACCGGUUUGUAUUUAGGAUCCACAUUAAGGGUGUGCUCAGCGAGUUGCCUCGGUACACCUGGCAUGUUAGAGGGCUUCCAUGCAAAAAUGUCCUGAUUCUCACAGAUGAACUCGAUGAGCGCGCUUUCCUAUUUCGGAUCCAAAUUAGCACUGAUGCUGAACUGCUUGGACGAAUCACCAGGUACAAAGUCAACAAGCUUAGUUUAUGCUGCCGAUUUGAACUUCAGGGCCGGAUCAUGCUCCGUAGUUGGCUUCUUUAAUGGAGUCAUGUCCGCCGGAUCAACAUUGCCCUUAUAAUACUUCAACUCCUCGGUGGCACAAACCGACUCUGCAUUGGCUGCAUCACCUUCCUCACACUCCAAAGCGAUUUUGCGGCUUCCGUAAACCGUUAUUGUCCCCUUGUAACCUGGCAUCUUGAGCUGCAAAUACACAUAACAGGGUCGUGCCAUAAACUUGGCGUAGGCCGGUCGCCCAAAUAGGGCGUGAUAUGGACUUUGGAUUUUCACCACUUCAAACAUCAAUGUCUCCGACCUGGAAUCAUGAUCAUCCCCAAAGGCCACUUCCAGAGCUAUCUUACCAACAAGAUAUGCUGAUCUGCCAGGUACUACACCAUGGAACACCGUAUUAGACGGUUUAAGAUUUUUAUCUGUCAGCCCCAUACGACGGAAGGUCUCAUAGUACAAGAUAUUAAUGCUGCUACCUCCAUCCAUGAGCACCUUGGUGAACUUGUAACAUCCCACCUGAGGCGCCACCACCAGAGCCAACUGACCCGGAUUAUCGACCUGGGGAGGGUGAUCCUCUCUGCUCCAUAUGAUUGGCUGUUCAGACCAACAUAGAUAACGGGGUGUGGCCGGUUCAACAGAGUUGACCGCCCGCCUCUGAACCUUCCGGUCUCGCUUGUCCAAGCUAGUAGUGAAGACAUGGUACUGCCCACUAUUCAACUGCUUUGGGUUGCUCUAGUAACCUGACUGUUGCUGCUGUUGGUUGUAACCACCCUGGUUGUUCUGACUAUUUUGACCAUUAUGUCCGCCCGGAUUACCAUUAAAUCCUGAACCGGAACUUCCUCCACCGUAACCCGACCCGGAUCCUGAGCUACCGCCAGAUUCGUGAUCAUACCGGAAAUUAUUAGAAUUCUUGAACUCCUGCAUAAUAAAGCAAUCCUUUCAAAGGUGGUUUGCCGGCGCCUCCUUCAUCCCAUGUCUUGGACAGGGCUGGCUUAGCAGAUAGUUUAGGCGGUCUGGGUUAGGGUUGGGUGCCCCAUUAUGAUUUUUCGGUUUACCUUUGCGUCACUGGCCAUUGUCCUGUGCAUUGGUAUUAGCCACAAAGUCCAUGUUACCAUCCGCUUUACGCUUGCCUCCACCACCAUUGCCUGCCCAGUGAUGCUGCUGACCUUUGGAGUUGUUGUUCCUCUUUCCCUUCCCUGUCUUGUCAUCAUCAUAUUCGGGAUCCUUGGUACUAUCAGAAUCAACAUAUUUCACCAAAGCGGCCAUGAGGGUCCCCAUGUCAGUGCAAUGAUGCUUCAUCCGUCCCAACUUCAGCUUUAGGGGCCCAAACCGGCAGUUGCCUUCUAGGGUUAAUACUGUAGUGUCAGCGUUGAUGCGGUCUGAGGAGUGCAACACUUGUGAAACCCGACACACCCAAUGAGUCGUUGAUUCUCCUUCCUCCUGGACGCAUGCAGCUAAGUCCACUAUCGACAUAGGCUGUUUACAUGUAUCCUUGAAAUUGCUGAUAAACCGGGCUCAUAAUUGGGCCCAUGAACUGAUAGAAUUAGCCGGCAAGCUUUUUAACCAAGUACGGGCCGUUCCUUCAAGCAUCAUGGUGAAGUAUUUCGCACACGCCGCGUCAUCCACAUCAAGCAUCUCCAUGGCCAUCUCAUAGCUCUCCACCCAUGUCUCUGGAGGCUGAUCCGCCGUGUAAUUUGGUACCUUGCGCGGGCCCUUGAAAUCCUUGGGCAGGCGCACAUUGCGUAAAGUGGGGAUAAGGCAAGGCACCCCCAAAGAACUAGAAGUAACCCCAGGUUCGAUUGAGAUGGUUGGACGAACCAGCGUGAGCUGCCGAGCCUGAUGCUGUGUGGCUAACUCGGCCUCCCUGCGCGCUCGGGCCCGGUUCACCACCUCCUGAGCGUUAUCAGCACCACCCGUCAGGUUGUUGCCACGGGGUGCUCCACGUCGUUCGUUACUCGACACUGCCGGUUCAUCCAUAUGUCCGCUAUAGCUCCGGCUUGGGUGGGGGGUCGAGUGGAUUCGGUCGCGGCUGUACGAGUAUGCUUCCUGUUGGACCAAAGCUGUCCUCAGAAGCUCCUUGACCCGUCGCGUCUCUACUGCCUGCAGCGAAUCACCCUCAAUUGGAAUGGCCUCCAGCCGUGCAGCAGCGGCAACGAGAUUGUCCAUCGGGUUGGAGUAGUGACCCGGAGGUGUUAAAACAGCAUGAGGUAUAACGGUGUUUUGACGUGGCGGGUCCAUCUGACGAGGCUGAACCGGUGCACCGGUCCCGGGAGCUUCCGCCCGGUUUCCCUCCAGCGGAUUGCCGGUUCCUACUCCUGGAGUAUUGAAAAGGUCUUUGGCCUCAAAAACCGGAGGCAAACGGGAUCGGUACUUCCUCCUCAUGACUUCAUGCAACGCACUCUGGUCCAACAUGAGCCUGUAGACUUGUGCGUCUAAAGCGGCCCGCUCCGUGGCCAUCCUGGUGUCCUCAGCUGCCAGAUUUGCCUUGGCCUGGGUGAUCUGUUCCUUCACUUUUGCAAUCUCGGCGUUGUGAACGCCCUGAUCCGUCGGAUUAGCCUCCGCCAUAAGCACAGCCAAUGCAUCAAAUAGCUCUGAUAGAACUUGAGCCGGCGGGCGCACAGGGCCUCCUGCCCCGGCAGCCGUCACCGCUGCUGAACCGGAGGUUGUUGCCGCAGCGGUCGAAGAAUGAAGCGCUGCUUGUGUGCCAGUCAUGAAUAUUCCAACCCGGUUGGGCAGAUCAAAGGGGUCCGGAAUACUGUCGCCAUCGGAACAGCCCCCAAUCCGGCCGUCUUGUAGCUGAUAAAGAGAUUCGGUUUCUCCGGUCGAUGACUCGUCAUCGGAACAAACGACGGUAUCGCCGCGAGAUUCCGAUCCAUCCUCAUAACUUCCUCCAUGAAUGACUCCCACGAAGGCACGCUUCAUGGCCGGUUUAACCCGGGCGGAUCAUGCAUGCUGAGCCGUCUCGACGAGGUCGGUGCAGAUGUCCGGCUCAGGGCCCGGUUCACCGAUCUUGCCAAUGAAAACGUGAAUGCCACCAACGGGGACCCGGUACCCGUACUCAAUUGAGCCAGCCUCGGGGCCCCAGCCUGCGUCGUCGAUGUAGAACUUGCCGUGACGACUCUUAGUCAUCCGGCCUACAGUGUAGCCCUCGAGUCCUUCAAAGCGGCCUUCCAAGAACCGAAAACCAUCGUGCGAUAGCCCCACGGUGGGCGCCAACUGUCGUGGCUUUGUCACGGCAGAUGUCCUAGAGAAAGGACUUAGUCGUGGAGCCAUCGCGACGAGUUAGCUUGAAGGGGUUAAAGUGGACACAGGGACGCAAGAGAGUUUAUACUAGUUCGGCCCCUUCGAUGAAGGUAAAAACCUACGUCUAGUUGUGAUGGAAUUGAUGGGGUUUCGAUGACUAGGGAGCAAACAAGCUUCGCCUAUGUCUCGAGUUGUUGUCUAUCUCUCUGAACCGCCGCCGGGUCGUCCCCUUAUAUACACGGGUGACACCUGUCGGUUCAUAGAGUCCCAACACCGGUUGAUAUUCGUAUUCCGGGUUGGUCUCUCCUUAUUCCUAACUUACAAUACAAGUUUAUAUACAAAUCCCGGUUUAUAGCUACAAGUCUUGAACCGGCUACGGGCCUUAGGCCCUCAUCUGCAUUCUUGGGUUUUAUCACUCUUGAACUACUGAUAAAGUUGACCCGGCCCAGAUAGGCCGGUUUACGCCCAGCAGUAAUAUCCCCAACAAGUACCGAGCGCACUAAGCGGGCUCCUUAGUUUUAUUUCUUAAAUUGUGACGCUGAAAAAAUGCAGUUGUUUCCUGUUUGGUUUUCUUUUUCUAUUUUACCCCUUUUUUCUUUCUUAAAUGCGUGAACUUUUCAAAUUCGUUAUUUUCCUCAAGAUCAAUGAUCUUUUUUUAAUUUGUGAACUUUUUCUUCAAAACCUAUGAUCUCUUUUCAAAUUUAAUGAUUUUUUUUCUAAUUUGAUGAUUUUGUUUCAAAAUUGAUGGACUUUUUUGUCAAACUUGAUGAAUUUUUUUGAAGUUGUAAUUUUUGCAAAAUUGAGGAACUUUUUCAAAUUGCUGAUUUUUUUCGAAAUUGGUACCUUUUUUCAAAAUCGAUGAAGUUUUUUUCAAAAUCGAUGUCCUUUUACAAUUUUUCACAAACUUUUUCAGAUUCGCUAUUUUUUCAAAAUUCACGAACCUUUGCUCAAAUAUAUGACUUUUUAUAAAAUCCUAAACCUUUUUUAUUUCACAAUAUAUUUCGAAAGUAUUUUCAAACCGUUUGGUUUUUUCUACUAGACCAACAACAUAAAAAAACGAAAAACAAAAACUAGCUGGCGGCCGAGCGAAGCGAGCCGCGGAGCAGCUGGAGCGAGCGGGGAGCAGGCGAAAUCACUAAUUAAGGAGUACUCGUUGCAAAGAACACUCCACUUUCCCAGGUCGCGACAAGUGGCGCACAUGCAACAUGCUACUUGUGGCAACCGAGAAGUUUUUCUUUUUUUCGUAGAUCCGUUUAUUCAAAACAUUUUAUCUUUUAAACCGCGCGUCCAAAUCUUAAACCGUUUUCACUAUUGGAUUCCUCGCGUCGAGAUAUUCAAAACUAGAUCCCAUGUUGAUAGAUUUUGACGAACUUUUUUUCAUGAGAAAACCGGACGAAAAAAACCGAAACCGGGAGCAUGGUUUUUUUUCCUUUCCGAAAGAGGCACGCCCGUGCCUCUCGCGAAAAUCACGCCCGUGCCUUUCGUGGAAGCAAAACCGAGACUCUCGUGGAAGGAAAAAAAAUAGAAGUCAUGUUUUUUUUCUCGUUUCUGAGAGGCACGGCCAUGACUCUCGCGAAAGCACAACCGUACCUCUCGCGGAAACAAAACCGUAACUCUCGCGAAAGAAAAAAAACAAAAAACCAUUUUUUUUCGUUUCCGAAAGGCACGGUCGUGACUCUCGCUAAAGCAUAACCGUGCCUCUCGCGAAAAAAACCAUGACUUUCAGGAAAGAGAAAAAAAUUGUGUUUUUUUUCUCGUAAUUUUUUUUUUAAUUUUUUUGAUCGAAAAGCUAAGGAAGAGAAAAACCAAAGCGUCGAAAAACCCUGAAAAAAACCGUUUAAAAAGCCAAAAACGCGUGUGGAAAAAUAAAAAAAUAAAAUCCGGAAAGAGUGUCCAAAAUGCGACACGUGGCGAAUGACUGAGAACGCUCUAAAUGGCGCUGAUCGUUGCGAGGCAGCUCUCGUUAACUAGAUGCUCCCGGGAGCAGGCGAGUGAACUCACGUCGCUGGGCCGCAUGGAAAACCAGCAGGUCCAACUUAAUUGUGUGGUUGGGCCUCGAAGCUGCUGCACNNNNNNNNNNNNNNNNNNNNNNNNNNNNNNNNNNNNNNNNNNNNNNNNNNNNNNNNNNNNNNNNNNNNNNNNNNNNNNNNNNNNNNNNNNNNNNNNNNNNNNNNNNNNNNNNNNNNNNNNNNNNNNNNNNNNNNNNNNNNNNNNNNNNNGCCCUCAUUCCUCAGCCACCACACCGAUCUAGGGUUUCCUGCUAGGGUUUUAGUCCUUCGUUUCCAGCGGCGGCGCAAGAUGGGUGAGAGAGUGAAGGGAACCGUGAAGUGGUUCAACGUCACCAAGGGGUUCGGAUUCAUCUCCCCGGAGGACGGCAGCGAGGACCUCUUCGUCCACCAGUCCGCCAUCAAGGCCGACGGCUACCGCAGCCUCAACGAGAACGACGUCGUCGAGUUUGAGGUCAUCACCGGCGACGACGGCCGAACCAAGGCCGCCGACGUCACCGCACCAGGAGGGGGUGCGCUCGCCGGCGGCUCCCGCCCUGGCGACGGCGGUGGUGACCGCGGGGGUCGCGGCGGGGGUGGCUACGGUGGAGGCGGCUACGGCGGCGGCGGCGGCGGCGGCUACGGUGGUGGUGGCGGCGGCUACGGCAGCGGUGGCGGCAGCUACGGCGGCGGUGGCGGCUAUGGAGGUGGUGGCGGCGGCGGCCGCUACGGAGGAGGCGGCGGCGGCGGCCGUGAGUGCUACAAGUGCGGCGAGGAGGGCCACAUCUCCAGGGACUGCCCCCAGGGCGGCGGCGGCGGUGGCGGUGGCUACGGAGGUGGUGGCGGCCGUGGCGGUGGUGGUGGCGGUGGCGGCUGCUUCUCCUGCGGCGAGUCCGGCCACUUCUCGCGCGAGUGCCCCAACAAGACCAACUAGACGGCUUUGCCCGUCAGAUCUGAGUGCCCCGUUCCCCUUCGCUCCUUUUCCUACCGCCUGACUCUGCAGCAAGUCAUACCUAUACCUAUCAGUAUUAGUAUAUGUCGCCGUAGUGUUCCCCGUGCUUCUCGUAGGAAGAAGAAUCGACGAUGCGAGCUUGGUUCCAGAAGUAUUGUUGGUGGCGUGUUGUUCGUUUGAAGUUAUCUUGUGUCGUCUGAUGGGGACAGACCUUAUAUCUUUAUGUAUUGGAUUGAAUGGACUAAGUUAUGCAAGUCAAGUUAUGCUGUCUGAUUUUGAUAUCAUUGAAACUUGCAUGUUCUUUUCAUUUUUCCAAAAACAAAAACAGCUGAUCGUUUUUCAGUUCGCGCGGAUUCGUUUCUCCAGUUGUUGGGUCUUCGUCUGCAUCUCAGAGCGUGCUCCUCUGGGCGUCCAGGCUAGAAUGUUCAUUGUUUAGUAGCAUGCUUGAGUGCUAUUGUUCAGAGAUUAGUAUUAGUAUAUUUGUUCAGAUAUUAGAAUUUUUUCAUGCGUCAUAUUUCAGUCAGAUUGUGUUCAAUGCAUGAAUGAACAGCCUCACUAUUUAGAUGUGUGUACUGAGAUCACAAGAAGUUUUGGAAGCUAUGUUUUGCUUACAGUUUCUCUAUGCUUUUUGUUCCUUAGUCUGUCAGCUUGCAUCAUUGUUCAGUAUAUCGUGGUUUUCAUAGAUUAACUAUCUGUCUUAUUGUACAGUCAUUUCUCAUUUCAUUAUUCUGUUUGUUAUUCACACAAUGAGCUCUUGCCUGGCGAUGGCUUCUUAUGUCCAGUAUUUUUUUCAUAUAGUUUUUCUUUCAUAGUCAAGCCCAUUCAGCUCAGUAUUUUAGCACCUCACUUUUCUUCAGUUUUUCAUUCUUCAUGAGCGAUAAAUCACGCUGAAGGCUCUACUUGCACUUCUUUUGGUCUCUCUUUGUCUUGAAGCUCUUAUUCAGUUUUUAGCCUUUUAAUUCGGCUUCACCAGUUUCUUUGUUCCUUGUAAUUUCUGUUUAAAGUUUCUCAAAUUUUAUCCAUGGCACAUAGCAUUAUUUAUUCAUAUUGCGGUAAUGAUUAUGAUCCAUCCUUUUGGAAGUGACAAACAAAGAAGCACCCAGAGCUAGACACUUUCUUUUGCAUGGUCAAUCUUUUUUUCAUUUGCAUGGUUGGUUUUUGCAUUGACGGUGAAUUUCAAGUGCAAUCAAACUGUAAGUCAGUCACCUUGGUUCAUUUUGUACCGAUGAAUGGAAAACUGGAAAUUAGCGUUUGCUUUCUACUCCCUCCGUUCCUAAAUAUUUGUCUUUCUAGAGAUUUCAACAAGUGACUACAUAUGGAGCAAAAUGAGUGAAUCUAUACUCUAAAAUAUGUCUAUAUACAUCCGUAUGUGGUAACCAUUUGAGAUCUCUAAAAAGACAAAUAUUUAGGGACGGAGGGAGUAUGAAGUAGGGCCAGAUGGCUUUUUCUCUCUAAAAUUGACUGGCAAUUGCAUUUGUAGCCAUGGAACACACACCUUUGCUGAUAGUCCAAGUAGCAUACUUUUGUUAGCUAUUCAGAAAAGAUGUUGCUCUAUUUCUAUCUCAUCAGUAUUAGUGUGUGUUUCUCAUCAGUAUUAGUGUGUGUUUCUUCAGUCUUUUCUCUGUCAGUGUUUAGAUUUCAGUGCUAUAUCAGAUAUAUCUUCACCAACGCAGCAUUUUAUCGAACAUGCAAGUCUAUCUAGCUUUUUUUCUUACAUUUUGGCCUCAAGAAUUUGUGCCGCUAUGUUUUCUUUUUCCAGAGAUGAUCACGUGUAUGUAGUUUACCGUGUGCCUAUUUAGUUGUAGUGUCAAGUGGCAGGUCAUUGUGGGAUGAAUGUUUCUUGAGUAUGAUCUGUAGUAGACUAUUAAGAAUCCUGAAAUCUUGGAUUUUGGUGGCAAAUUAGUACUCUGCAUGUGUAUUAAUAUGAAAGUAGACUUGUCAAUUUAAUUUCAAUUGGUGAUGCUUAUCAUGUGCAUUCUGAGAUCAACAGCCGAUGGAUCUUGAAUUCCAGGGCCUAGUUCUGAAUCUGUUACAUUGGCCAACGAGCUCAGUGAGUUACAUGUCAACAAUUUACUCUAGCAUGGUAUAUUUGAACUUGGCUGGCUGGGCAACUUGUACCGUUUAUAUGCUUUUGUAUUUCUUUUUGUGAAUAUAUUUGGUUUUGUAUAUACAUGACCUGAUUUUAUAUGCUUGGCUGAAAGUUGCACUGGUAAAUUUCAUGUUGCUUGUUUCUCAAGAGUGUUGUCUGGAGGUUUGGUUAUUUUUUUUUUGAAACGGGCAAAAGAUUUGCCGCAUAUAUUAAUUAAGAAGGAGAAGAAUGUUUUGUUACAGGCCCGCAACUACAAGGAUUUUACUCUCCCGGAAUGAUGGUCCCUAACUUUUUUGCGCCUGCGGCGACCCAGAGUUUAGCUUCAAGCUUGAUGUUGUUGAGCAAGAUUGUUGGCGGAGAGGACUUGUUGCGGAAGACCCUCCUGUUUCGUUCAUUCCAAAUAGACCAAGAUAUUAGCAUGGUAAGGGAAGCCCGGGCCUUGCGAUUUGGCAUGGAGAUGUUGGAGCGGUUGACCCACCAAUCUUUGACAGAUUGCUCAAGAUGACAUGUAGGAGUGUGAAGGUGCUCAAGGUGUAGCCAUUCAUUGACCAAAUUCCAGAGGCGAAUGGUGAAUCUACAUUUGUAGAAGAGGUGGGCGCUGGACUCUUGUACACGCUUGCAUAGGGGGCAAAGGUUGCAAUUUGGCCACCCCCGCUUUGCCAGUCUGUCAGCUGUCCAAAUCCUAUCUUGGAUAGCCAACCACACAAAGAACUUCACUUUAGGCGGCGCCCAGGCUUUCCACACCGCAUGUGGCAUCGGAGAGUGUGUAGAGCCCAUGAAUUGUGCCAAGUAAGCGCUUGCCGACGAGUAUUGUCUGUUCUUAGUGUGCUUCCAGAUGAUUUCAUCCUCGACGUGCUCCACAAGAUGAAAUCCAUUGAUGAGAGUCCAAAGGUUUAUGAAUUGCCUAAUGUGCUCGACGGUGAAGCUUAUCGUGAUCUUAAUCUUGAAGAUCCAUGCAUCAUUGAGGAGCGCAUCCUUGACUUUCCAUUUUUUCCUUGAGGAUGCCUCGAAGAUAAGAGGCGCGAUUUCCUUAGGCUUUCGGUCUUGAACCCAUGGAGCUUCCCAAAAGGGGGUCCUCGCCCCAUUACCAACCGUGAUUGUUGUGCAUGCGUAGAAGAGGUUGAGGUCCAUCUCAUCGUAAGGAUUUCCCAUGCCGACCCACAUUCUUGUUGGUUCCUUCCACUCGAACCAAGGCCAUCUCAGUCUUAGGGCUCUUGCAAAUUUUGUUGUGUUCAGUACUCCGAGUCCUCCCCUCUCAAAAGGUCGGCAGACCAUGUCCCAGUUGACCUUGCACUUGGCACCAGUCGUCCUGUCCGCGCCGGACCGAAGGAAUGCCCUCGCAAUCUUGUUUGUGCUGUGUAGGAUGCUCGGGGGGACAAUCAACGGCGUGAUGUAGUAGACCACUUGCGAGGCGAGUGAAGAUUUGACAAGUGUGGUGCGCCCGAUGGUGGUGAUGUUGUUACCCUCCCAUGGGAUGAGCUUAGCCGCCGCCUUGUCCUCUAGGAAUUGAAAGUCCACUUUCUUGAGUUGCCACACCGAGAGUGGAAGCCCCAAGUAUCUCAUCGGAAAGGAAGCCCUCACCGCCGGCAAGCUUUGGGUGAUAUGCUCAAGGUUUAGGUGUGCACAUUUAAUUGGGACGAACGAGCUCUUGCUGAAGUUGGUUUGGAGGCCUGAGACCUCACCAAAGCCUUUGAGGAUGGGGGCGAGGUUGUCAAUGUCUCGCUUAAUGGGCGCCAUGAAUACCGCGACAUCAUCCGCAUACAGGGAGGUUUGCAUGAUAGUGCCUCUACCCUGGAUUUUGUGGAGUAGCCCCUUUCUUGUAGCCAAUUCGAGAAGUUGUUGAAGGGGGUCGAUAGAGAUGACAAAUAAGAGAGGUGACAAGGGGUCCCCUUGCCUGAACCCGCAGCGGUGGAAGAUUGCGGGGCCGGGCACCCCAUUGAGGAGAAUCCUGGAUGAUGAAGAGUUUAGGAGAGCAGCCACCCAAUUGUGGAACUUGCAUGGGAAACCCCUCCUACGCAGGAGAUUGAGGAUAUACUCCCAACGCACCGAAUCAAAAGCCUUGCGGAUGUCAAGUUUAAAGAGGAGAGGAGGAGGAGGUUUGGUUAUCAUGAAUAUCAAAGGAUGAAACAUAAUAAGGUCAUUUCGUUUACCUCUGCAUGAUUUUAGUGUGUUUCUUCAGUCUUUUCUCUCAGCUUUCACUUCAGAUGUUAUUGCGAAAACACCCACAGCUUAUCAAAUCCAUUUCUUUAAACGCAACAGCGUCGCUAGGUACGUCCUUGUUCUUGGCUCCUUUGACUCCAGCCCCAUAAGCUAUUCUUUCACCUGCCUUUCAAAUUUUACAACAUGCUAUCCGUCUGUUUUACCAUUUUGCCUUGGGUUUUUGUGUCACUUCUGUUGAAGGCGGAUGUUGUCAGUUUUCCAGAUUGUGAACAUGAGCUGGGGAGGAAUUAUUUAGUUUCAGCUUUCAUGAAACAGAAAAGCUAACCAGCGAAAUAAGGUUUUUGGUGAUCUCCAGCGAACACCCUUCCUCGGCCUUCAUACUCAUCCAACCCCCGCCCCCACUUUCCUCAUCCUCACCACUCUCUUCUAGGCAGGCCCCUGUGAUCUUCGGCCAUUCUCGUCGUUUAUCUCCUGUGGUCGAGGUUUGGCUGUAAGUCUCUAUUCUUGCCACCGAUCUAUCA